ACGGCGAGUGAAGCGGGAAGAGCUCAAGCUUAAAAUCUCCGUGCAAGUUUUGCGCGGCGAAUUGUAGUCUAUAGAGGCGUGGUCAGCGUGGGCGCUUGGGGCAAGUUCCUUGGAAGAGGACAGCAUGGAGGGUGAUACUCCCGUUCAUCCCUGAGUGGCUCGUGCGUACGACCCGUUUUCUUUGAGUCGCGUUGUUUGGGAAUGCAGCGCAAAGUAGGUGGUAAAUUCCAUCUAAAGCUAAAUAUUGGUGCGAGACCGAUAGCGAACAAGUACCGUGAGGGAAAGAUGAAAAGAACUUUGAAAAGAGAGUUAAAGAGUACCUGAAACUGCUGAAAGGGAACCGAAUCGUUUCCAGUGUCUAUAAUCCGUGGCAUAUUUCAUUGGCGAGCGUUUGCGUGCGUGUGCUGUGGCAGUGGCUUUUUUGGCUGCGCCUGGCGUGUGUGCUGUGAGUGUUUGCUGGUGCCCUGUGCUGCGGUGGGACGUCAAGGUCAGUUCGUAUGCUGCGGGAAAUGGCUGCCGAGGAGGUAGGGCUUACGCUCCGCGUUUGUCUGUUAUAUCUUGGUGGACGAGUCGUCGUGGUUGGGACUGAGGUGCCUACAACGUGCUUUUGAGUGGGUUUGUGUCUCCGUGUGCGCCGUGUGCGGAUAGCUUGCUAUGCGUGUGUGGUUGUGUGUGGAUUGAUGCGGGCCUUAACUUGUCGCCGUUCGGGACGUUGACGA
rnacentral:rRNA from 1 species